rnacentral:rRNA from 1 species
CACGCGUUGGGAGCUCUCCCAUAUGGUCGACCUGCAGGCGGCCGCGAAUUCACUAGUGAUUAGAGUUUGAUCAUGGCUCAGAUUGAACGCUGGCGGCAGGCUNAACACAUGCAAGUCGAGCGGAGUGAUGGUGCUUGCACUAUCACUUAGCGGCGGACGGGUGAGUAAUGCUUAGGAAUCUGCCUAUUAGUGGGGGACAACAUUUCGAAAGGAAUGCUAAUACCGCAUACGUCCUACGGGAGAAAGCAGGGGAUCUUCGGACCUUGCGCUAAUAGAUGAGCCUAAGUCGGAUUAGCUAGUUGGUGGGGUAAAGGCCUACCAAGGCGACGAUCUGUAGCGGGUCUGAGAGGAUGAUCCGCCACACUGGGACUGAGACACGGCCCAGACUCCUACGGGAGGCAGCAGUGGGGAAUAUUGGACAAUGGGCGCAAGCCUGAUCCAGCCAUGCCGCGUGUGUGAAGAAGGCCUUAUGGUUGUAAAGCACUUUAAGCGAGGAGGAGGCUACUGAAGUUAAUACCUUCAGAUAGUGGACGUUACUCGCAGAAUAAGCACCGGCUAACUCUGUGCCAGCAGCCGCGGUAAUACAGAGGGUGCAAGCGUUAAUCGGAUUUACUGGGCGUAAAGCGCGCGUAGGCGGCUAAUUAAGUCAAAUGUGAAAUCCCCGAGCUUAACUUGGGAAUUGCAUUCGAUACUGGUUAGCUAGAGUGUGGGAGAGGAUGGUAGAAUUCCAGGUGUAGCGGUGAAAUGCGUAGAGAUCUGGAGGAAUACCGAUGGCGAAGGCAGCCAUCUGGCCUAACACUGACGCUGAGGUGCGAAAGCAUGGGGAGCAAACAGGAUUAGAUACCCUGGUAGUCCAUGCCGUAAACGAUGUCUACUAGCCGUUGGGGCCUUUGAGGCUUUAGUGGCGCAGCUAACGCGAUAAGUAGACCGCCUGGGGAGU